rnacentral:rRNA from 1 species
UACGUAGGUGGCAAGCGUUGUCCGGAUUUACUGGGCGUAAAGAGCGCGCAGGCGGUCGUUCAAGUCGCGUGUGAAAGCCCCCGGCUCAACUGGGGAGGGUCACGCGAUACUGAUCGACUGGAAGGCAGGAGAGGGUAGUGGAAUUCCCGGUGUAGUGGUGAAAUGCGUAGAUAUCGGGAGGAACACCUGUGGCGAAGGCGGCCACCUGGGCCGACCCUGACGCUGAGGCGCGAAGGCGUGGGGAGCGAACGGG